GAUGAACGCUGGCGGCGUGCUUAACACAUGCAAGUCGAACGGAAAGGCCAGUGCUUGCACUGGUGCUCGAGUGGCGAACGGGUGAGUAACACGUGGGUGAUCUGCCCUGCACUUCGGGAUAAGCCUGGGAAACUGGGUCUAAUACCGGAUAGGACCAUCGUGUAGUGGCGGUGGUGGAAAGUUUUUUCGGUGUGGGAUGAGCUCGCGGCCUAUCAGCUUGUUGGUGGGGUAAUGGCCUACCAAGGCGUCGACGGGUAGCCGGCCUGAGAGGGUGUACGGCCACAUUGGGACUGAGAUACGGCCCAGACUCCUACGGGAGGCAGCAGUGGGGAAUAUUGCACAAUGGGCGCAAGCCUGAUGCAGCGACGCCGCGUGGGGGAUGACGGCCUUCGGGUUGUAAACUCCUUUCGCCAGGGACGAAGCGUAAGUGACGGUACCUGGAUAAGAAGCACCGGCUAACUAC
rnacentral:rRNA from 1 species